rnacentral:rRNA from 1 species
UACGUAGGUGGCAAGCGUUGUCCGGAUUUAUUGGGCGUAAAGGGAGCGCAGGCGGUGACUUAAGUCUGAUGUGAAAGCCCACGGCUCAACCGUGGAAGGUCAUUGGAAACUGGGUCACUUGAAUACAGAAGAGGAAAGUGGAAUUCCAUGUGUAGCGGUGAGAUGCGUAGAUAUAUGGAGGAACACCAGUGGCGAAGGCGACUUUCUGGUCUGUUAUUGACGCUGAGGCUCGAAAGCAUGGGUAGCAAACAGGAUUAGAUACCCGGGUA